ensembl:lncRNA
GACCUUUUUUUAUUUGAGUUUCUAACUCAAACUGAGGUUUCAUUUAGAUAUUUUUAUAUUGUUUUUAAGCCCAAUAUCUAUAAUGACUGAGCCAUAAUGGGUUAAAUAUUCCUCCAAAAAUAAAAGGUGUUUUUCCCCUCAGUGUUGGCAUUUGGUUUGGCUGCUAAUCCCUGUUAGCCAACACCAGGGUUCAUAUGUGACAUACUACAAACACAAUGAGGGAAUUUAAAUGUUUAGUCAUUGCAAAUACCCACACAUCCAAUGGCUGUUUUAUCACAAAAUCAGGAGUUUUUUUCCACCAAGCCUUUUUCCACAAGAGGCUCUUUCUUGGCCUUAUUAAGAAUUUGUUUCUAAUUGACCCACCUGCUAAGAUAAACAAACGCCGAUAUCUUUGAAUUAUCUCUUUUGACAAUAAUUGGGAGAUUUUUCUUUAACUGUGCAGCCUGUGGAAACAUGUAACAUUCAUUGUCAUAAUUGUCUCCAUUCGAACUAGCACAUGAACAUGGCUUCAGCUAUACACCGUGGGCAUGUUCCCCUUACAUCACAACAGCUAUAUAUAUAUAAAAAAUAAAAUGGGUCUUUUGAUUAAGCCCAGGAAAAGCUUUAACCAAACAGGGUUUCUAUUGGACAAAUUCCAGUAGGUCUCAAAUUUUUGUUUUGUUUGACAAGGUGGAACCUACCUACGUCAUUUUGCAACUAAAAUGUUUGGUUUUAAAUAAUGAACACACCCGAGAAUUUUGCUGCCAUUUACACAUUUGACCACACGGAAUCUUCACACCAGAAUUGAUCUGAUGGAUCAAAAGAGCUUUCAGUGGAAAGUCUUCCUGUCAUAAAUCUGCCUAAACAGCAGUAAAAAUGUAUUUAGAUGUAUUGUUGGUGUUUGCCAUUGUCUGGUUCUUUUGGACAAUAGAUGUGUUUUAUUUGCCUUGCCUUGAAUUUGUAUUCUGAAAAAUACUUAGGGAAAGAACAAAGCUUUGAGGUUUUUAUAUGAAGCUGUUAUUGUGUAUUCAGCCCUUGUGUAAAUCACUGUAUGUCAACUCCAUUGUUUUUGGUUCGAAGACCCUGCCUGAGCAUGUUCAAUACAGGACUUAACUGUAUUUUAUGUGCCAUCUGGAUUAUGCUGAAAAUACAAAAGAAAACCAACCAAGAAGAACAAUGCAUCAAAAUAAAUAGCAAACACUGGUAUCCAAUAAAGAAGGAAAUAUUAUCGA